rnacentral:lncRNA from 1 species
AGGCCAAAUAAAAAAUAUAUGUGUGGUUCCAGUAACCCUACCGUCCCUACUUUUUCGGCUUAAAAAUAGCCUACCCUAAAGAUUUUAUUGUCAUUUUUCAUUAAGCACUGUUAAAGUCAAAAUGUUGCUCCCAUAGACUCAAGGUAAAAAAAAAACAUAAAAUAAAAAAAAAAAACUACCUACCUACCCAAACUUUUUUUCAGAUGUAACUGGAACCACAC